ensembl:snRNA U6 U6 spliceosomal RNA
GUGCUCGCUUCAGCAGCAUAUGUACGAAAAUUGGAAAGAUACAGAGAUUAGCAUGGCCCCUGCGCAAGGAUGACACGCAAAUCCGUGAAGCAUUUCAUAUUUUU